CAGUCGCCGCGGGAAUACGUAGGGUGCGAGCGUUAAUCGGAAUUACUGGGCGUAAAGCGUGCGCAGGCGGUUCGUUAAGACAGAUGUGAAAUCCCCGGGCUUAACCUGGGAACUGCAUUUGUGACUGGCGAGCUAGAGUAUGGCAGAGGGGGGUAGAAUUCCACGUGUAGCAGUGAAAUGCGUAGAGAUGUGGAGGAAUACCGAUGGCGAAGGCAGCCUCCUGGGCCAAUACUGACGCUCAUGCACGAAAGCGUGGGGAGCAAACAGGAUUAGAUACCCCCGUAGUCCCUGUCUCUUAUAC
rnacentral:rRNA from 1 species